rnacentral:rRNA from 1 species
UACGAAGGGUGCUAGCGUUGUUCGGAAUCACUGGGCGUAAAGGGUGCGUAGGCGGGUCUUUAAGUCAGGGGUGAAAUCCUGGAGCUCAACUCCAGAACUGCCUUUGAUACUGAGGAUCUUGAGUUCGGGAGAGGUGAGUGGAACUGCGAGUGUAGAGGUGAAAUUCGUAGAUAUUCGCAAGAACACCAGUGGCGAAGGCGGCUCACUGGCCCGAUACUGACGCUGAGGCACGAAAGCGUGGGGAGCAAACAGG